rnacentral:rRNA from 1 species
GACGAACGCUGGCGGCGCGCCUAACACAUGCAAGUCGAACGGAGUCAAGAGGAGCUUGCUUUUCUUGACUUAGUGGCGAACGGGUGAGUAACGCGUGAGUAACCUGCCCUGGAGUGGGGGACAACAGUUGGAAACGACUGCUAAUACCGCAUAAGCCCACGGAUCCGCAUGGAUCUGCGGGAAAAGGAUUUAUUCGCUUCAGGAUGGACUCGCGUCCAAUUAGCUAGUUGGUGAGGUAACGGCCCACCAAGGCGACGAUUGGUAGCCGGACUGAGAGGUUGAACGGCCACAUUGGGACUGAGACCCGGCCCAGACUCCUACGGGAGGCAGCAGUGGGGGAUAUUGCACAAUGGGGGAAACCCUGAUGCAGCGACGCCGCGUGGAGGAAGAAGGUUUUCGGAUUGUAAACUCCUGUCGUUAGGGACGAUAAUGACGGUACCUAACAAGAAAGCACCGGCUAACUACGUG